rnacentral:rRNA from 1 species
AAUUAAAAAUUUACUUAAUUUUGAAAUUUUUUUAAUUUAAUAAAAAUAAUUUUAAUAAUUUAAUAUUUUAGUAUAUUUUAAUGAAAAAAUUAAUUUUAGUUAUAGUUUAUUUGUAUUGUAAAAGAUUAUUGAAAUAAUAGUUAAUUAUUUAAAAGUAAAAUUAAUUUUUUGUACCUUGUGUAUCAGGGUUUAUCAAUUAAAGAUUAUAUAUUAUUAAUUUUCUCGAAUUUAAGAGAGUUAAUUAAUUAUUAUUUUUAUUGUAAAAAAAAUAUUUUUAAUAGUUAAUUAGUAAUGAAAUGUUAUUCGUUCUUUAAGUUAUCUAGUUUAUUUAGAAAUAAAUUUAAUUUAGAUAUUAUUAUUUUAAUUAAUAAAUUUAUUUGUUAGUUAAAUUUUAAUAUUAAUAAUUAAAGGGCUAAGCUUUUAAUUAAAAUUUUAUAAAUCAAUAAGUAAAAUUAAAAAUUGUAGGGUUAGAAAUAUCCAUCAAUAAUAAUUUGUUAUAAUUAAUUUAUUUAAAAUAUAUUAUUUUAAAUGGUUUUAAUUUUUUAUAAAUAAAUAUAUUUAAAUUUUUAAAAUAUAGCUAUAAUGAUAAAAUUAGUAUAUAUAAAUUAUUUAAAUAAUAGAUUUUAAAAGAUUAUUUAAAGGAAUUCGGCAAAAAUUUUAUUCGCCUGUUUAACAAAAACAUGUCCUUUUGUUAAUUAAUUUAAGGUCUAACCUGCCCACUGAGUUUUAAAUGGCCGCAGUAUUAUGACUGUGCAAAGGUAGCAUAAUCAUUAGUUUUUUAAUUAAAAGCUUGUAUGAAAGGUUGGACGAGAUAAAUUCUGUCUCUAUUUAAUUUAAAUUAGAAUUUAAUUUUUAAGUUAAAAAGCUUAAAUAAAUUUAAAAGACGAGAAGACCCUAUAGAUCUUUAUAGUUUAUUAAUUAAUUUUAAUUAAGAUUUUUUUAAACAUUAGUUUUAUAGAUUAUUUUAUUGGGGUAAUAAAAAGAUUUAAAUAAUUCUUUUUUUUUAUUUACAUUAAUUUAUGAAUUUUUGAUCCAGUUUUAUUGAUUAUAAGAUUAAGUUACCUUAGGGAUAACAGCGUAAUUUUUUUAGAGAGUUCAUAUCGAUAAAAAAGUUUGCGACCUCGAUGUUGGAUUAAAAUUUAAUUUAGGCGUAGAAGUUUAAAUAUUUGGUCUGUUCGACCAUUAAAAUUUUACAUGAUCUGAGUUCAGACCGGUGUAAGCCAGGUCGGUUUCUAUCUUUAAAAUUUAAAAAUAUUUUAGUACGAAAGGACCAAAUAUUAAAUAUAAAUAUAUUUAUAAAAUUGAAUAUUAUUAA